rnacentral:rRNA from 1 species
UCCCAGCAGUCCAAGUCGCAACCACAACUGUUUGGUCUAAAACAUCCGUAGCUUGCUAUGUAAGUCUUCUGUGAAAUUUCACAUCUUAAGUGUGGAGCGGGCAGAGGAUACUGCACAGCUAGGGACCGAAGGACGCAAGGAGUACAAUCAAGGUAGUGGUAAAAUAUGUUAAUCUUGAUUGGACUAACAAUAGCGAAGGCACCUUGCGACGGCGGAUCCGACAGUGAGGGAUGAAAGCUAGGGGCGCAAAAUGGAUUAGAUACCCCUGUA